UAAGGAAUAUUGCUCAAUGGGAGAAAUCCUGAAGCAGCAACGCCGCGUGGAGGAUGAAGGGUCUAUGACUUGUAAACUCCUGUAAAGAAGGAAAAAAUUCCCAUUAGAUGGGAGAUGAUGGUACUUCUGGAGUAAGCCCCGGCUAACUACGUGCCAGCAGCCGCGGUAAUACGUAGGGGGCAAGCGUUGUCCGGAUUUACUGGGUGUAAAGGGUGCUCAGGCGGAGUUGUAAGUCAGAGGUGAAAUCUUACAGCUUAACUGUGAAACUGCCUGUGAUACUGCAAGCCUAGAGUAUGGAAGAGAGUGAUGGAAUAUCUGGUGUAGCAGUGAAAUGCGUAGAUAUCAGAUAGAACACCAAUGGCGAAGGCAGUCACUUGGUCCAUUACUGACGCUAAAGCACGAAAGCGUGGGUAGCAAACA
rnacentral:rRNA from 1 species